UACGGGGGGGGCAAGCGUUGUUCGGAAUUACUGGGCGUAAAGGGCUCGUAGGUGGCCAACUAAGUCAGACGUGAAAUCCCUCGGCUUAACCGGGGAACUGCGUCUGAUACUGGAUGGCUUGAGUUCGGGAGAGGGAUGCGGAAUUCCAGGUGUAGCGGUGAAAUGCGUAGAUAUCAGGAAGAACACCCGUGGCGAAGGCGGUUCUCUGGGACGGUACUGACGCUGAGACGCGAAAGCGUGGGGAGCGAACAGG
rnacentral:rRNA from 1 species